UAGCCGUAAACGAUACUCGCUAGGUGUCGGCCACGGUGCGACCGUUGUCGGUGCCGUAGGGAAGCCGUGAAGCGAGCCACCUGGGAAGUACGGCCGCAAGGCUGAAACUUAAAGGAAUUGGCGGGGGAGCACAACAACGGGUGGAGCUUGCGGUUUAAUUGGAUUCAACGCCGGAAAUCUUACCGGGACCGACAGCAACAUGAAGGCCAAGCUGAAGACUUUGCCGGAUUAGCUGAGAGGAGGUGCAUGGCGUAGUCGUCU
rnacentral:rRNA from 1 species